UGUUUUUUAAAUUGCUGUGGUAUUUUGACUAUACAAAGGUAUUGAAAUAAGAUUUUAAUUGAAUGCUAAGAGAAUGGAAUUUCAGGGAAAAUCUUUAUUUAAGCUAAAAAUUAAACUUUUUUUAAUUUGUGCAGAAACAAUUAUAAUAAUUAAGGACAAGAAGACCCUAUGAAUUUAUGAAAUUUAUUAAUAUUAUUAAUAAAAUUAAAAAAUUUUGGCUGGGGUGGCAAAAAAAUAUUUUAAACUUUUUAAACUUAAAAUGAUCCAUUAUUAAUGAUUAAAUGAAAAAAUACUCUAGGGAUAACAGCGUUAUAUUUUUUGAUAGACCAUAUUGACAAAAAAGUUUGCGACCUCGAUGUUGGAUUAGGAUACUUUUUUAAUGCAGAAAUUAAA
rnacentral:rRNA from 1 species